UUUGGUUCAAAUUUUGCAUCUUUUAUAGCUGUAGAUUGAUAACAAAAAUACUUUUCACAUUUAAUCAUGUAAUAGGAUAUAUAAAUGAUUAGAAAAAAAUAGAGUCAUGGAUGUUUCCCUGUUUGCCUUGUAUCAGAAGUUCAGAACUAAUACUUGCUCAUGCCUUAUAAUUGUAAGCUCGCAGUAUAAUUAUUCACUUGUCUUAACUUGUCCCAUAUAUUAAAAGCAAGAGAGGUUUAUCGUGACAAAGUUAAAACAUUGUCCCAACUGACCAGUAAAUCCCAUGUAAUCCCUUGGUGCAGGCACUUUGGCACACCCAAUGAACACUCAUUCUUCUCGCUGUUGUUCUUUGAUAUUUAUUUUGAUGCAUGAUAUGAUGUCUUGUGAGUAGUGACAACUUCCUGACAUGUGAAAUACUCAUCUAAUUUGUUUUUCCUCGUCUAAUCUGCAGGAGUAGGAAUAGUUACUUCCUGCUGCGGUUCUAUGACAGCUCUCAUUAUACAUGUUUUAUCACCACCAGUGGCUAUGAACAUCAGUAGUAACACCAUCAUUGGUACGUUCCCUUGUUUGGAGAGAUGGAAUAUGAUCCGAGCUGCCAGUACGCGUUUCUAGCAAUAGAAGAACAUUGGGGCACUUGCGAAAGACAUAGGUGAAGUCAAGGUAAAUUUUCGUUAGAAAUAAAAUGCAAUAUGGAUUGAUGAAGUUCCUUCAACCGAGUAGUGAAGUGGGGAUUUUCAGGUGCGCUCCAAGCGGUGCUGGCUUGGUAUCAAAUAGCAAGGAAGAAAAGAUGGCAGCAUGCACUUGAGGAGAGAUGGGCGGCCACUGAAUUAGAGGGUGCCCAAUGACCAGAAUUAAAAGAUCAAUUCUGGUAUUUCUUUCAGCAGCUGAAUCGAGGAGAAUAACCGAGACUGGAUGAAAAAAGCAGCAUGGACGGAGGAAAGGCUGUGUACAUUCUAAUUAUUUAGAAAUAAACUAACGGAACUUACUAAUGGAGCUCGGAAUAAUGGUUCACAUGAAAGCCAUAGAUAACUUACAUUGUUUGUUGCCGCUCAAGAUAUAUAUAGUACAGAAUGUCUCCCCUUGAUGCACUAAUGUUAGUAAAUGAUGAUAAUACCUUCAGAUUGCUUAGAAACAUUGGUCUGGUAGAAAGGCAAGUAUGACUAUGCAAAUACUAUGAUUUAUGUAAAUACUAUGUAACAGACACUAAGCAAUUUCUGACCAAAGAAGGGAAAGCACCUGACCAAAGAUGGGCGGCCACUGAAUUUGUUUCUCUGCAGAUUAUGCAAUGUCAGGGAAGCAGUGUUUUACCCGAGAGAAGAAACCGUUGAAUGCCUUCUAUCGUCCCUUGCAAGAAAAAAAGAGAAUACCUUAUCUCCAUUAUAACACUGGAACACCAGAAAUAUUUUCACUCUGAAGAUGGAAACCAAUCUAGCGAGGCAUGAGAUGUACUAUAUAUAAGAAGGCCUUUCCCUCUAAACAAAUUCCAAGAGUGAGUACUUCAUCACAAAUAUAUGUGCUCCAUAUAAUCAGCACAACAUCAAGGAGUUGGAGGCUGGUGCACAAAUUCUCCUCCAAUUCUACCUUGCAACCCUGGUACAAAAGAACAAAUAGCAACCAAUUCAGAGUUAACCAUCAGAUCAUAGCAACUAACUAACAAAUCAGAGUACGUUAUGAGAGGAGAAGCCUCAUUGUGGAUCAGCAAUCUAGCGGCAAGAAAAAGCCUGACACAACCAACACUGUAGUCACUCGAUGUAGAGGCUACGCAUAUUGCGUUAUCUAAGAACCGAAUGUGCAAAAGCUGAUCGCAAAGCCACAAACAGAACCUCGUGACAUCAGCAACAACAUCAUUGGCGCUAGCCGAUGCCAAUUGGAUAAUCUGAAAAUCAAAUGAGAUACCUUCGGGGAUGAUGGAUCGAUACAUGUUGGUGGGAUGAUAAAUCUACAAGUUGUGUGGAGAAGAAACAACUGCAUCUAUAGAAAAUUCCAUCCACCAAAAGAAGAAGAUGCAAUUGUGUUCUUCUGAUUGUAGGGAUCAAUCCGAUCCACUGAGAAUUCUAUCAUGAAUUCAAUUGAGUGUAAAACCGCGCAUCAGCACAUGCAUCCUUGUGUCACCGUCGAGUGCCAACAAACCGCACGCUCGCCGGUGCACUCCGCAAACUCCGCUGCCUCCGGAGUAGAAGACCCCUGUUCGAUCUCCAAUCUGGGCACUAUACGUAGACAUGAGUUUACAUACAGCUCUUAGUCUGUCCUAGAAGCUAGCUCUGCAUGCAGGAGGGAUGGGGGAGAGCAGCGGAGGAAAGGGGUCUUGGAUUGAUCUUAUAAGAGUUUUACGCCUGAUCUUAGAAGGUUUGCAAGGAAAAGGCUUGCGUGUGUUUUUUUGGCAGACCGUAGAGGAGUUCGGCCAGGAAAAGCCUCACCUGUGGGAUAGUUGGCAAGGACUCCUCGUUAACGGCGGAGAGCGGGGCAGGCAUUACGGGGGACUCCUCCUUAACGGUCUAUGAGGAAGUAUGGUGUGAAGGAGAGAGGGUGUCAUGGUGAAAGUGAGGCGGACGUCACCCACUACGGCGGGAA